GGGAAUACAGGUUUGAAGAUUUCAUAUGCUUACUUAUAAUCCAUCUUUUUUAUCUCAAGCAGUUCAGUCUUGAUAGAAUUUUAUACUUUUCUCAAUGAAUUCAUAACUUUGUUAAUGAAACUGCUAGCUUGUGCUGAAUUUGACUAUUUCAUUAGUUAGUUGGCAUUUGUCGCUAAGUAGAAAUUCUGGACAGUUCUUUUAAACGGGCAUUUGUUAUUAACGUCUGUUUCUUAUUGGGUUUGAACUUUUUGGCUCAACUAAAUUACUAUUUAACUUCUGAGCAUAUCGUUAGGGGGGAUUAGAUUUAGGCACCUAUAUUACUAAAAGAAUUAUCAAUUCCUGCACUGUUCUUGCUGUUGCUACUUGUUUCAAGUGGAU
rnacentral:misc_RNA from 1 species